UUUACGGGAGGCAGCCAGUGGGGAAUAUUGCACAAUGGGCGCAAGCCUGAUGCAGCCAUGCCGCGUGUGUGAAGAAGGCCUUCGGGUUGUAAAGCACUUUCAGCGAGGAGGAAGGGUAGUGUGUUAAUAGCACAUACAUGACGUACUCGCAGAAGAGCCNCNNAUCC
rnacentral:rRNA from 1 species